GCCCCCGUAGCUCAAGUGGAUAGAGCGCCUGUCCGCCUAACGGGAGGUUGCAGGUUCGAGUCCUGCCGGGGGCG
rnacentral:tRNA from 1 species